CUUUUUUCGAAAAGACCUACCGUUUUUUCGAUGUUUCAUUUUGUGAUUUUUUCAUAUUUAAACACUGGUGAAGUUUUCAAGAAUCAUAACUUUGCGUUUCCUUCAGCAACUUGAUACUGGUAAACCACUUUUCUAUGAAAUUACUGUUAAAAAAACUCGCAUGAUACGAAAAAAAGCCCUAUAGAAGGUAACGUUGUGCCUUACGAAGUUCAGUUUUCAACAAGUUACAGUUACAGUUUUCUUAAUUCCUACAUCAAUUAUUUAUAGAACAGAUAUAUCAUUUUAUUAUAGCAUUGGCAAUGGAUGACAGCGAAUCCGUGAUCAAGAUAUUUCAAUAGGAAUGAAAGUGGGGAAUGUGCUUAAAAAGACAACAACCCGACCAAAGAGCUGAGAACAGAUGAAGGCCACCAAAUGGUCUUCAAUGCAGCGAGAAACUCUCACACAUGGAGGCUUGCUUCAAUUGACCUCUAAACUAAAGUUACUAGUUCAGUGAUUAUGGACUUCAUAGUCAUACUAAACUUAAGUUAGAAUUAUACACAAGAAUCUAUAAUUGAAAAUCAUACAAGACUAACAAAGGCCAGACGAUCCUGACAUGGGACCCUAGAGAAUUUAAGCAUUACAAAUGUAAAUAUAAGUGCCUCAAUGAACAUGGACAACACUAAUACAUAAAGAUUUUAGAAAUGAAGAUUUUUUGCUACAUUGUAUAUAUGUCAAAAUUUUAAAGCAAUAAUAUUAUACCUAUUUGUAUUUGUUUUUAUUUCAGCUUGAUUCCAAUCUUUGGCAAUGGCUAAUACAAGAAAAGGCAAGGCAUACAUGUAUAUGUACAAUACAUGAUUCUCUGUAGCAAUUGGAUUGUCUAUUCACCCCUAUAGUUCCACAACAACAAUGAAACUCUAGACUACUACAUGUAUGAUGUUAUGAAGAUAUUUACAUAUACCUACAUGUACAUCUACAAAAAUGAUCCAUUUUGAAGAUUGUUUAUGCCAGGUCUAAUGAUCAGGUCGACUAGUACAACAAGUUUUGAUUCAGCUUUCUGACAGGAAUUAUUUAUAAACUUGCCAGCAGUUACAACAAAUGAAUAUUAUUAAUUGAGUUAAAAAAUUAAGCUCAUUCGGACAGUGAAGUGAUUUUGACGCGUAUUGAAGUAGACAUUAAACAUGUUAAACGUUUCGAAUUGAUAUCGAAUUAUGUGUACAUGCAGCAUUGAUUUAUUUAAGAAAUUAAGAAUAUAGAAAUAUUAAAAAAAGAUGGACA
rnacentral:lncRNA from 1 species